AGAACGAACGCUGGCGGCAGGCUUAACACAUGCAAGUCGAACGCGUGGAGCAAUCCACGAGUGGCGGACGGGUGAGUAACGCGUGGGAACCUGCCCUGGAGUGUGGGGAUAACCGAGGGAAACUUCGGCUAAUACCGCAUACGACCUGAGGGUGAAAGAUUUAUCGCUCUAGGAGGGGCCCGCGUCGGAUUAGCUAGUUGGUGGGGUAAAGGCCUACCAAGGCAGUGAUCCGUAGCUGGUCUGAGAGGAUGAUCAGCCACACUGGGACUGAGACACGGCCCAGACUCCUACGGGAGGCAGCAGUGGGGAAUAUUGGACAAUGGGGGGCAACCCUGAUCCAGCAAUGCCGCGUGAGUGAUGAAGGCCUUAGGGUUGUAAAGCUCUUUCGCGCGCGACGAUGAUGACGGUAGCGCGAGAAGAAGCCCGCUAACUCGUGCCAGCAGCCGC
rnacentral:rRNA from 1 species